UACGAAGGGGGCUAGCGUUGCUCGGAUUGACUGGGCGUAAAGGGCGCGUAGGCGGUUCGUACAGUCAGACGUGAAAUUCCUGGGCUCAACCUGGGGGCUGCGUUUGAUACGUGCGGACUUGAGUGCGGAAGAGGGUCGUGGAAUUCCCAGUGUAGAGGUGAAAUUCGUAGAUAUUGGGAAGAACACCGGUGGCGAAGGCGGCGACCUGGUCCGAUACUGACGCUGAGGCGCGAAAGCCGUGGGGAGCAAACAGG
rnacentral:rRNA from 1 species